GGACAGGUGGCCGAGCGGCUGAAGGCACACGCCUGGAGAGCGUGUGAACGGGGAACCGUUCCGUGGGUUCGAAUCCCACCCUGUCCG
rnacentral:tRNA from 1 species